rnacentral:rRNA from 1 species
GCCUACGGGCAGCUGCAGUGGGGAAUAUUGGGCAAUGGAGGCAACUCUGACCCAGCAACGCCGCGUGAAUGAUGAAGGUCUUCGGAUUGUAAAGUUCUGUGAUGGGGGAUGAACACAAUGACGGUACCCCAAUAGCAAGCCACGGCUAACUACGUGCCAGCAGCCGCGGUAAUACGUAGGGGGCAAGCGUUAUCCGGAUUUACUGGGUGUAAAGGGAGCGUAGACGGUGAUGCAAGUCAGAAGUGAAAGCCCGGGGCUCAACUCCGGGACUGCUUUUGAAACUGUGUGACUGGAGUGCAGGAGAGGUAAGCGGAAUUGCUGGUGUAGCGGUGAAAUGCGUAGAUAUCAGGAGGAACACCAGUGGCGAAGGCGGCUUACUGGACUGUAACUGACGUUGAGGCUCGAAAGCGUGGGGAGCAAACAGGAUUAGAUACCCGGGUAGUC